CUGGAUAUUAGACCUUUGUCAGAUGGCUAGGUUGCAAAUAUUUUCUCCCUUUCUGUGAGCUGUUUACUCUGUUGAUAGUUUCUUUUGCCGUAAAGAAGCUCUUUAGUUUAAUUAGGUCCCAUUUGCCAAUUUUUGUUUUUCUUGCAAUUACUUUUGGCAUCUUUGUCAUGAAGAUCAUUUCCAGGUCCUAUGUCCGCAAUGGUAUUUCCUAGGUUAUCGUCCAAGGUUUUAAUAUGUUUUCAUUUUAGAUUUAAGUUUUUAAUCCUGCCUUUGCCUCCCAAAGUGCUGGGAUUACAAGCGUGAGCUACCACACCCAGCGAGGAAGCCAAGUUUAACGUGUGUGCUCCACUCCUCCAACCUGGCCAAAGGGCAGUCAUCAUCACUGGCCACUACUGACCACAGCCUUUAGAAACUCCCCUUGAACGUGCUGGGCUGACCUUCCUCUGAUCACAGGCAAGGUAACCAUACACUCAAGGCCAAUGAUCCCAUCUGCUGUGGGCUGGCUCAUGCUCCCAAUGCUUACAGAACCUGGGAGGCAGAGGAAAACUCUGCCCAUCCCAUGGGACGUUACCUGUAAGCUUUGAACACCAGAAUCUUGAGGCCCAUCUCUUUCUGGAAGGCUUUGUCUUCCUCUAAACCAGGAAGCUGGAGCAAUUCCACCAGAUUCUGUACAACAGAUGCAACAAGAAAAUUCAUGAAGAGUAGAUCUUAGGUUGAAUUUUUCACAGAAGACCUUGUAAGAGCAGACAAUGGUGAGAAAAAAAAAGCCCGAGGUCAAUACAAUGGGGAAAAGCCUGUGAAGUGACCUGGCAGCAGCCACACCUGCUGUCACCUCCAUUCCCCUCUCAUCUUGGAAACAGAUUUGCCCUUUACAACUCAACUCAUAGCUCACCCGCCUUCAGAGACUUCUUGGCCCAUCUUAGCUGGAAGGGAUCUGUUCCAGCGCUGAGCUUUUAUUUUGCUUAGCAUCUACUCAGAUGCCUUGACUGUGUGCGUCUCACAGUCCUACUGACUGACAAACUCCCUGGGGGCCGAGAUGGCAUGGAUUCAGGUCUCAGAUGCUCUAUGGCACCUGGGAGCAUCUUACACAGGUGAAGUGCUCAGUGAUGAUCUGGGGUCACUAUUCUCUGCAGAUCAGCAUGUCUGAGAGGUAGGGGCUCACAGCCUGUGGAACUGGUGUAAGACCUUUGUCUUUUCCCGGCUACUAACAGGUCCUGCUUGUCACAGCCCUUCCAUGAUACAAAGUUAAGUCAUUUUGUGUCUGACACAGGCAAAGGAAAACGACAGGCCCUUGCCUUCCUGGUCCUCAAGGGUCAGCUGUAAGAUGAUGUCAUAAAGCCGGAUCAGGUCCUGGGGCCGGGGGAAGCACUUGCUGUCAUCCUCUGGCUGCUGCUGCAGCAGAGCCCUCUGCAGACCUUUGGCCAUGCUCUCAUUACGCUUGAUUGCCAUUGACAGCUUGAUGUAAGUCAGGUUGUAGAUGAGCAUGAGAGUGUGGAGCAGAGUCGGCGAGCGCAAGUCGAGCCCAUCAUCCUGGACAGCCGUCUCCGUGCCUUCCCCAGUGAGGAAGAGCUAGGGGAAGAUGAGAUGUACUACUGUUCCAAGUGUAAGACCCACUGCUUAGCAACAAAGAAGCUGGAUCUCUGGAGGCUUCCACCCUUCCUGAUUAUUCACCUUAAGCGAUUUCAAUUUGUAAAUGAUCAGUGGAUAAAAUCACAGAAAAUUGUCAAAUUUCCUCGGGAAAGUUUUGAUCCGAGUGCUUUUUUGGUACCACGAGACCCGGCUCUCUGCCAGCAUCAACCACUCACACCCCAGGGGGAUGAGCUCUCCAAGCCCAGGAUUCUGGCAAGAGAGGUGAAGAAAGUGGAUGUGCAGAGUUUGGCUGGG
rnacentral:lncRNA from 1 species